rnacentral:rRNA from 1 species
AGUAUAUUGACUGUACAAAGGUAGCAUAAUCAUUAGUUUUUUAAUUGAAAACUUGUAUGAAGGAUUUGAUGAAAUAAUAACUGUCUCUAAAUUAAAAAUAUAAUUUUAUUUUUUAGUAAAAAAGCUAAAAUAAAUUUAAAAGACGAGAAGACCCUAUAGAGUUUUAUAAAAAAAUUAUUUAAAAUUUUAUAUUUAAUUUUUAAAUUUAAUUAAGUUUUAUAUUUUAUUGGGGUGAUAGAAAAAUUAAAUUAACUUUUUUUAAAUAAUAGUAAUGAAUAAAUAAAUGAUCCAUAAAUAGAUUAUAAGAAAAAAUUACCUUAGGGAUAACAGCGUAAUAUAUUAUUUUUUAGUUCGAAUAAAAAAUAAAGUUUGCGACCUCGAUGUUGGAUUAAGAUAAAAUUUAAAUGCAAAAGUUUAAAAUUUUGAUCUGUUCGAUCAUUAAAAU